UACAGAGGUCCCAAGCGUUGUUCGGAUUCAUUGGGCGUAAAGGGUGCGUAGGUGGCGUCGUAAGUCGGGUGUGAAAUCUCGGGGCUUAACUCCGAAACUGCAUUCGAUACUGCCGUGGCUAGAGUCCGGUAGGGGAGCAUGGAAUUCCUGGUGUAGCGGUGAAAUGCGCAGAUAUCAGGAGGAACACCGGUGGCGAAGGCGCCACUCUGGGCCGGUACUGACGCUGAGGAGCGAAAGCGUGGGUAGCAAACAGG
rnacentral:rRNA from 1 species